UACCUCAAAAUUCCGCAACAGUCUGUUUCAUCAGUAAAGAAUCAUCAGACGGUUUGGAGAUACCGCAUGAUGAUUCUUUACUGAUGAAACAGACUGUUGCGGAAUUU